rnacentral:lncRNA from 1 species
CCCUCUUUAUCUAAUGUUACAGUUGACCUCUAGCAUUAUUCAGUGGUUCGGUUUAUUACUUCAAACCAUACUUGGGAUAGGACUGCUCUUGAUCGGAUUUUUAAUGCUAAGAUGAUGACUACUAUCUUAUCAUUGCCCCUAGCAUAGGGAGAUUGGUCUGAUCAGCUUGGUUGAGCUCACUCUCGAUCUUCCAAAAUCAAUCUUAGAGACAUCUCCUCAGCUCUUCAAUAUGAUACCACUACUUAGCAACCACAUAAUGUUAUGUCCGUCUGCAACCUUCUAGUUCCCAUGUGGAUCAAAUGUUUUUGCUAGAAAUUAUAAAGGCAUGGCUUGCCUUGCAAACAGCUCUAAGCUUCUAGAGGUGUUGUUCCAAAUACUGUCAUUGCUUGUGGCUUGUGUCAGGAUGUUCAAGAUGACUCUAAGCAUUCUAUUAUCA